rnacentral:rRNA from 1 species
UAUUGCACAAUGGGCGCAAGCCUGAUGCAGCCAUGCCGCGUGUAUGAAGAAGGCCUUCGGGUUGUAAAGUACUUUCAUCGGGGAGGAAGGGAGUAAAGUUAAUACCUUUACUCAUUGACGUUACCCGCAGAAGAAGCACCGGCUAAAUCCGUGCCAGCAGCCGCGGUAAGACGGAAGGUGCAAGCGUUAAUCGGAAUUACUGGGCGUAAAGCGCACGCAGGCGGUUUGGUAAGUCAUAUGUGAAAGCCCCGGGCUCAACCUGGGAACUGCAUCUGAUACUGGCAAGCUUGAGUCUCGUAGAGGGGGGUAGAAUUCCAGGUGUAGCGGUGAAAUGCGUAGAGAUCUGGAGGAAUACCGGUGGCGAAGGCGGCCCCCUGGACGAAGACUGACGCUCAGGUGCGAAAGCGUGGGGAGCAAA